GACGAACGCUGGCGGCGUGCUUAACACAUGCAAGUCGAGCGGAAAGGCUCCUUCGGGGGUACUCGAGCGGCGAACGGGUGAGUAACACGUGAGUAAUCUGCCCUGGACUCUGGGAUAGCCACCGGAAACGGUGAUUAAUACCGGAUAUGACCACUUUAGGCAUCUGAGGUGGUGGAAAGUUUUUCGGUCCAGGAUGUGCUCGCGGCCUAUCAGCUUGUUGGUGAGGUAAUGGCUCACCAAGGCUUUGACGGGUAGCCGGCCUGAGAGGGUGACCGGUCACACUGGGACUGAGACACGGCCCAGACUCCUACGGGAGGCAGCAGUGGGGAAUAUUGGACAAUGGGCGGAAGCCUGAUCCAGCAACGCCGCGUGAGGGAUGACGGCCUUCGGGUUGUAAACCUCUUUCAGUACCGACGAAGCGAAAGUGACGGUAGGUACAGAAGAAGGACCGGCCAACUACGUGCCAGCCGCCGCCGUAACAC
rnacentral:rRNA from 1 species